UUCAGUGUAGCAUAGCGGUAAGGUGCAUGGCUCAUAACCGAAAGUUUACUGGUUCGAUUCCCUAUUGAGG